rnacentral:rRNA from 2 species
UCACAACGACUCUCGGCAACGGAUAUCUCGGCUCUUGCAUCGAUGAAGAACGUAGCGAAAUGCGAUACUUGGUGUGAAUUGCAGAAUCCCGUGAACCAUCGAGUCUUUGAACGCAAGUUGCGCCCGAAGCCACUAGGCCGAGGGCACGUCUGCCUGGGCGUCACGCA